rnacentral:rRNA from 1 species
AUUGAACGCUGGCGGCAGGCCUAACACAUGCAAGUCGAACGAGUGGCGGAUGGGUGAGUAAUGUCUGGGAGACUGUCCGCGGGAGGGGGAGAACUACUGGAAACGGUAGCUAAUACCGCAUACAGUCGGGCGUGCCCAGAGUGGACUAGCUAGUAGGGGGGGUAACGGCUCACCUAGGCGACGAUCCCUAGCUGGUCUGAGAGGAUGACCAGCCAAACUGGAACUGAGACACGGUCCAGACUCCUACGGGAGGCAGCAGUGGGGAAUAUUGCACAAUGGGCGAAAGCCUGAUGCAGCCAUGCCGCGUGUAUGAAGAAGGCCUUCGGGUUGUAAAGUACUUUCAGCGAGGAGGCGUUACUCGCAGAAGAAGCACCGGCUAACUCCGUGCCAGCAGCCGCGGUAAUUC